rnacentral:rRNA from 1 species
GUGCCAGCAGCCGCGGUAAUACGUAGGUUGCGAGCGUUAUCCGGAUUUACUGGGCGUAAAGCGCACCGAGGUGGCUUCUUAAGUCGGAUGUAAAAUCUCCUGGCUCAACUGGGAGGCGCCAUUCGAAACUGGGAAGCUUGAGUCCAGCAGGGGAAAGUGGAAUUCCCGGUGUAGUGGUGGAAUGCGUAGAGAUCGGGAGGAACACCAGUGGCGAAAGCGGCUUUCUGGGCUGCGACUGACACUCUAGUGCGAAAGCGUGGGGAGCAAACAGGAUUAGAAACCCGCGUAGUCC